rnacentral:rRNA from 1 species
AUGAACGCUAGCGACAGGCCUAACACAUGCAAGUCGAGGGGCAGCACAAGGAGCAAUCUGAGGUGGCGACCGGCGCACGGGUGAGUAACACGUAUGCAACCUGCCUGUAAGCGGGGAAUAACCCGUUGAAAGACGGACUAAUACCGCAUAAUACUAAAUUACUGCAUGGUAAUUUAUUUAAACAUUUAUGGCUUACAGAUGGGCAUGCGCAUGAUUAGCUAGUUGGAGAGGUAACGGCUCCCCAAGGCAACGAUCAUUAGGGGUUCUGAGAGGAAGGUCCCCACACUGGUACUGAGACACGGACCAGACUCCUACGGGAGGCAGCAGUGAGGAAUAUUGGUCAAUGGACGAGAGUCUGAACCAGCCAAGUCGCGUGCAGGAAGAAUGUCCUAAUGGAUUGUAAACUGCUUUUGCAGGGGAAUAAAGUGCAUCACGUGUGAUGUUUUGUAUGUACUCUGCGAAUAAGGAUCGGCUAACUCCGUGCCAGCCGCUGC